ACGCUCGACACCUACGGAAGGCAGCAGUGGGGAAUAUUGCACAAUGGGGGAAACCCUGAUGCAGCGACGCCGCGUGAGCGAAGAAGUAUUUCGGUAUGUAAAGCUCUAUCAGCAGGGAAGAAACUGACGGUACCUGACUAAGAAGCACCGGCUAAAUACGUGCCAACAGCCGCGGUAAUCUGAGCGGGCGUGGCAAGGC
rnacentral:rRNA from 1 species